rfam:Tetraodon nigroviridis, WGS project CAAE01000000 data, contig: CNS0BTRM, chromosome: undetermined
AAGGUCUCAUAUGCCACGGCGAUGGACUGGUUCAUUGCUGUCUGCUUCGCCUUU